GGAAACCCAUGUGACGAGGCUCCACAGGAAAAUAUUGAUUAAUAAGAGAUUGGGUCAAGAAUUUAUUUCAUCAGAUAAAGUUAAAAAACGAGGAGUGGUCAUUUACGCAAAGGAGAGCCUCUCACCAAAAUUCGUCUUUAAGGAUGAACAAGGAAGAUUCAUAGCAAUUGAAAUUCAAGCACAAGGAGAAAAACUUUUGAUAGUAGGCUUAUAUGCACCAAAUGAGGGGAAAUCUAUAUUUUACAAAAAGUUGCAUGAGAUCUUGAUGGACUAUAUGGACUAUAACACUGUUUUUAUGGGAGAUAUGAAUGGGGUGGUUUCCACAAACAUGGACAAGUCACAAAGAGAGGUAGUCACUAAAGAUGGCAGACUACCGAAAACAUUCUUUGAAUUAACUGACAAUAUGGAUUUGAUUGACAUUUGGAGAACUAGGAAUCCCCUUGAUAGAGAAGGAACCUUUUUUUCUGAAGCCCAAAAGACAUGGACAAGAAUUGACCAAAUCUGGACUACUAGAGGACUGGCACCUAAGGUUAGGAAGGUAGAGAUCUGUCCAAAAACAUGCUCCGACCAUAACGCCGUGAGAAUGGAGAUGAAGUUAACAUCUACUGGUUCCUUCCGAUGGAGGAUGAAUGACACCUUGUUUAGAGAUCAAGAGGUGAUUAAGAAGGCCCAAAAGACAUUGAGAGACUAUUUUGAGAUAAACUUGAAUACAGCUGUAGAAAAAAGAAUAAUCUGGGACGCAAGUAAAGCUGUUAUGAGGGGCUUCCUGAUUCAACAGAAUUCAGUUAAGAAGAGGGCCCAAAAUGU